rnacentral:rRNA from 1 species
CCUACGGGUGGCAGCAGUGAGGAAUAUUGGUCAAUGGACGAGAGUCUGAACCAGCCAAGUAGCGUGAAGGAUGACUGCCCUCUGGGUUGUAAACUUCUUUUAUAAAGGAAUAAAACGAGGCACGUGUGCCUUUUUGCAUGUACUUUAUGAAUAAGGAUCGGCUAACUCCGUGCCAGCAGCCGCGGUAAUACGGAGGAUCCGAGCGUUAUCCGGAUUUAUUGGGUUUAAAGGGAGCGUAGAUGGGUUGUUAAGUAAGUUGUGAAAGUUUACGGCUCAACAGUAAAAUUGCAAUUGAUACUGGCAGUCUUGAGUACAGUUGAGGCAGGCGGAAUUCGUGGUGUAGCGGUGAAAUGCGUAGAUAUCAGGAGGAACACCGAUUGCGAAGGCAGCUUACUAGACUGUAACUGACAUUGAGGCUCGAAAGUGUGGGUAGCAAACAGGAUUAGAUACCCCUGUAGUC